rnacentral:rRNA from 1 species
GAUGAACGCUAGCGGCAGGCUUAACACAUGCAAGUCGAGGGGUAUAGUUCUUCGGAGCUAGAGACCGGCGCGCGGGUGCGCAACGCGUAUGCAAUCUACCUUUUGCAGAGGGAUAGCCCAGAGAAAUUUGGAUUAAUACCUCAUAGUAUGUGAGAAUGGCAUCAUUUUCACAUUAAAGUCACAACGGCAAAAGAUGAGCAUGCGUCCCAUUAGCUUGUUGGUAAGGUAACGGCUUGCCAAGGCAACGAUGGGUAGGGGUCCUGAGAGGGAGAUCCCCCACACUGGUACUGAGACACGGACCAGACUCCUACGGGAGGCAGCAGUGAGGAAUAUUGGACAAUGGGCGCAAGCUUGAUCCAGCCAUGCCGCGUGCAGGAUGACGGUCCUAUGGAUUGUAAACUGCUUUUGUACAGGAAGAAACACUGGUUCGUGAACCAGCUUGACGGUACUGUAAGAAUAAGGAUCGGCUAACUCCGUGCCAGCAGCCGCGGUAAGAC